CUUGCAGCCAAUAAGAGGUCCAGCCUGCCCAGUGACUCUGUUCAACGGCCGCGGUAUCCUAACCGUGCAAAGGUAGCGCAAUCACUUGUCCUUUAAAUAAGGACUAGUAUGAACGGCACCACGAAAGCUAUACUGUCUCCUUCCUCUAAUCAGUGAAACUAAUCUUCCCGUGAAGAAGCGGGGAUAAUUUUAUAAGACGAGAAGACCCUAUGGAGCUUUAAACACACAACAAUUGUCACCGGGAUCCCCCGUUUCCCCGGAAGAAACUGCUUACCCGAACAUUUUGAUUGUAAGUUUUAGGUUGGGGUGACCGCGGAGCAAAAAUUAACCUCCAUAGUGAACGGGAUUCUUUUCCCUAAACCCAGGGCCACAACCCUAAGGAUCAAUAAACUGACACCCAUUGACCCAAUACUUUUGACCAACGAAC
rnacentral:rRNA from 1 species